CUGCUGGCUACACCACAGCCAGAGCAACUGGGAUCUGAGCUGCAUCUGCAACCUUCACCACAGCUCAUGGCAACACCGGAUCCUUAACCCACUGAGUGAGAUCAGGGACCAAAGCCGAGUUGUCACGGAUACUAGUUGAGUUUGCUAACCGCUGAGCCAUGAUGGGAACUCCCCAACACUUCAAUUUUAAACGCUUCAGGCUGUGUCUCCUAAUAACAAGGGCCUUCUCCUCAUAGCCACAGUGACUACAUUCGAAACAUUUAACAUUGAUCCAAUAUCAUUCAAUAAAGAAGUCAAGAAAAAUUUCCCAUUUUCCCCAGCAUGGUCCUUAUAAUAUAUAUAAUAUGUAUUAACAUCUAUAUUAAGUCAGAAUUCUCUCCAGGUAUAUACACUGCAGUGUUAUCAUGUCUGGUGAUUUUCUAUUUUCUCCCUUCUCUCCACACUUAUUAGCUGGCAUUCUUUUGUAUUCUUUCCCCCCAUCACCACCACUGUUCUUUCAGAUGCUCAAAAUAACCCGGAUUUGUUCAGUAGGAACCCCCAUAGUCUGGUUUCUAUAUAAUUUUGACAUCAUCUCAUUGAUCUUUGAACACUCUCUUACUUUCUGGCACAAGUGGUUCUAGGCUCGCUUGUACUCUUCCUGUUUUAGACCUAAAAUCAGCUAUUUCUCCAAGGAGCCUCUGGUUCUUUUAGACGAAGAAAGAUAUUAAGAAUCAAAUAUCUGGCUUCUACAUGUGCUCAUUGCUAGCAGAUUAUCAUUAUUUCUAGAUCCUUUCAGUGCAUAGAGCCAAGAAACACAUUUUUCAAGAAAUCAUGAAGUCAUACUGAUACCUCCAUUUCAAAUCCAAUAUCACAGAAAUCCUUUUCUUCCCUCAUUUUAUAUCUUCUCCCAAAGUGAGAAGUCUAGUUUCCAAAAAGUUUAAGAUAUUUUCUCAUUUGCUGUAUGCUUCAAUGCACACAGAGUAACCUCAGUAUUAUUUAUGACACAAAUAAAACCUAAGUAAAAUGAAAUCUUUAUCUAAAGUUCUUUCUGUUCACAAAAUAUAUUCUAUGAAGCUAUAUUAAAAAGUACUUGAACUAAUUCCAUUUUGUAUGUAGUUAUAUUUGCUGUACAAUUUGAUAUGCGACUAGGUUCAUUUAUUUCUGUUUAUAUUCAAUUCUAAUGUUUGCCCUUUUAAAUUUUGGAUUUCAUUUUAUUUUUUCGAAUGUGUAUGAUGUUUACAUGGUUCAAAAGUCAAAACUGUAUAAAACAGCAAAAGCUCAGAAAACACUCACUCCAUUCUUAUCCUUUCUACCCUUAUCAACUGUAUCUUUCCCAGGUGGCUAUGUUUGUGGCUUUGCAGGUUAUUCUUCACAUAUUUACAUUGGCAAAUAUAACAAAAUAGUUUCUUUGUUAUUAUUAUUAUUAUAUAUUUUGAAAUUUAAGAGAGUGUAUAUUUUUAUUAUGGUGGUUACCUUUCUACUACUACUUUGUGGGUUUUUUUGUUUUUAUGGUCAUAAUUCCCUUCCCUUACAUCGCCUCCUACGAUUGCUUUAGACUUCCAACUGGUAUCUUUGACUCCUCCUUUGACUUCUAUCAUGCAUUACCUGUAAGCCUUGAUCAAUGGUCUUAUUUGACUUUUCCUUUCUCUCCUCCAGGGUUUUCAGCUGCUAUUUCUAAUGUAUAAGAAUAUUUGCUAUUUGUGUGCUAUUCUUCCACUUCUCCCCAUCUGUGUCGAAGUCUUAGACCUACAAUUAAGGACAAUCAUGGAUCAUUGUCAGUGCUUUUGCUGUUGUUUCCCAGUCAUCUCUUAAUAGGAUACAGGUCAUCAUCCAGGAGAUUUCUUAGGAUUGGAUCCUGAUUAUAUAUAUAUAUUCUGUCUUCUUGAAUCUUUAAAGCUACCUGCCUAUAAUCUUGAUAUUUAAAGGACAGCUGGGCUAGAUAAUACAACCUCGUUUUUAAACGUGGAAAUGGAAACAAUCUGAGUGACCAACGAUCAGGGAUUGUAUAAACCAGUAAAUUAUGCUGUUAAAAAAUGAAAGCCUGGUCUAUAUAGCCAUUGUACAUGCUACAAACACUGUAGAAAAAAUAUAAAAUGAUAUAUAAAACCUAGGAUGAUCAAAUUUGUGUUUUUAAAGUGUAAGGAUGCUAUAAAUGAGUGUGCAAGUGUGUUUAGCAAACAGGGUGUGAUACAUAAGGAAGUUAACUGUAAUUUCGCUGCUGAACAGAAUUAUUGGUGAUCUUUAGAUUUUCCUUUGUACUUUUUUUUUUAAUUUUUCAAAUUGUGGCACUUGGGAUAUUAAUAAUGGUUUUUUAAAACUAGGCAAAGAGCUGAAAUUUUUGAGGUUUAUUUUUAAUGUGUUGGUUUUAAUCAAUACAAGACACAGUGUACCAAGCAAAGAGCAGCAUGAUCUAAUUCGCAAGCUCAGGACGGCCUAGGCUCCUCUCAGUGCUCUCUUGUGCUAGGUGCUCAAUCAAUGUUUGCUGGUGAUGAAGAAACUGAAAUUAGUCACUCUGGAGCAGAGUCAUUUGGGGCAACAAAGUUAACUUUUUUGAAUCAAGUUCCUGUCUUCCAGGGUUGUAUUGAGGAGGAAGUGAAACAGAAUACAUGUAAAACCACCAGUCCUGGGUCUAGUGUAUAAUAGGUACUCCUACCACUUCAUUUCAGAGGGGAAGAUAAGAUUAUUAGCACCUUGUCCUAGAUAAGUAGUAGGGAUAUAUUGUUUUAUUUAUUCUGAAGAACAGAAAAACAAUAUGAUCAGAGAGCCAGUAAAAAAAGAAAAAGCCUCAGAUAGCCUGUAAGGGUGUUACGGAGAAACACAAGAGGGGGAAGAGAAAGGUCAGAGACACAAACAUAAAUAGAGAGAAAAGACAAGACAGAAAAGGCCUAGAGAUCAUAAGAAUCUGGAAUAGUUAGGGCUUCUGCUGGCUUAUGAGUAAGAGUGCAGGAAAUCUGUGCCCCCAAAUUUUAAAUGUCUUAUAAUAACAAGAAAUAAAUGGCAUAUACACCUGCUUCUUUCAGUAACCAUUACAGGAUACUAAACUCAUCACUGACCUUGUAAUAGCUGUCUCCCCAAAAGGGCUGACCACAAAUGGCAGAGUAAUUGAAUAAAAAAAAAUUUGUGUGUGUUUUUAGGGCUGCACCUGCGGCACAUGGAGGUUUGGUGCUAAAAAGACAAAAGACAAAGAAAAAAUUUGAAUGUGACUUUGAAAACCCAUGGUUACCAAAGGAGACAGGAUGGGGGGUGGGGGUGGGAGGGAUGGGCUGGGUGUUUGGCAUGAAAAUGUUGUAAAAUUAGGUUGUGAUGAUGGUUGUACAACUAUAAAUACAACACAAUUCAUUGAGUUAAAAAAAAGAAUUUGACUGUGUAAUGUCAGGAAGCCUAGAAUACUUUAAAUAUAUCUCUUCAGGACUUACCCUCGUGGCGCAGUGGUUAAUGAAUCCGACUAGGAACCAUGAGGUUCUGGGUUCAGUCCCUGCCCUUGCUCAGUGGGUUAAGGAUCCAGGGUUGCCGUGAACUGUGGUGUAGGUUGCAGACACAGCUCAGAUCUGGGGUUGCUGUGGCUGCGGUGCAGGCCGGCAGCUACAGCUCUGAUUAGACCUCUAGCCUGGGAACCUCCAUAUGCCACAGGUAUGGCCCUAGAAAAGACAAAAAAAUAAAAAAUUAAAAAAUUAAAAAACAUCUCUUCAAGUGCUUGUGAUAGCUAGCCAGGUUUAGGGACUCCUGGCCUGUACAUGGGGCACCAUCUGUCCCAUCUGCCAGGGCAGUCCCAGAGUAAUUACUAGCAGAGACCCUCUCUCACAAAAAUCUCUCUGCAGAGAGGAGCAUCAUGUGUUCUCCUGCCUGCACCUCACCCCUCCCUGAAGGCUCGCUCACCGAAGGUGCUGGCCACUUGACUUCCCCCCCACAGUGAUGGCCUUGUAGCAUCUCUUCCACUCCAUGACUGAAGAUAAGACUUAGGGAAAAAACUACCCCUCGAUCUUAAAUUCACAUGAAAAUAUCCCCCAAGAGUGGAAUUCUUCCUGAGAAUGGGCUCUGACAAGUGAAGAAGAUAAAGCCUAACUCUAAGUGGGGAAAGAGAAUAGGAAGCCUGGGGCAUCUCAAAGACAGUUGCUUCUGCUCCCUCACAAUUUGGUCCAAGUCAGUGGAGAGAGCCAGAAGUGAGCACGAAUUCUACUUUAUGUCCUGGUUACUUAAAAGCUUUUGUUCAUUUCUCCUGUACCUCGUUUUGGUCCUCAAUUUCUCAGAGUCAAAAUAAGAAAAUCAUUUGAUAGUGAGGCCAUAUUGCACCUGAAAUGCUGAGAAACCAAUCAAUGCUCUCCAUUGAGUUAAUGUGUCAUCCAAUUUUGAGUGUUACCUUGUUCUGGUUUAAUCCUGACCUGUUAAAUAGUAAACAUCAUGUCAAAUAAGGGCAGGUGAAGAUAAAAAUGAUAAUGGGAGCGUUCUUAAAAGCAUUCACAUUGUAAAAUGUAAGAGAAAAUAUUUUCAGUUACAAGCCUUAUAAUAGUCCAGUGUUCCCUGUUAUAUAUCUGCCACUACAUCCCUGGGUUACCCACUUUCUUGCAGCACCAGACAGCUCUCUUUGUCCAUAUACUCCAGAUAUUUUCAUCCUUCCUGUCUUGAAAGGAAGAUGAAAGUUAAUAUUCAAGCUCCCAAAUGACAAAUGUAAAAAUCUGGUUUUCAUUACUUUCCGUCCAAACUGUGACUCUACUUCUAAAACUAAUUAAAUAAGAAAAUCACUUUCAAAUUUUCUCUGACAAGUUU
rnacentral:lncRNA from 1 species